GCUUCUUUUGUUAAAAUUGGUAUUAUUCAACUCAGCUUCUGAACUGGGUUUUUAAAUAACUUGAUAUAUUUCCAAAAACCUUGCCACCCUUAAAGAACAGGGAAAGCGCCACCAUCACAGAUAGGGUGGGUUCUCCGUCUGUGCGGUAGUUAGGUUCUGGAGAGUCACCGAGAGCACCGAACCAGCAAGUGCUGAUCCACUGCCCCUGGGGCAGGAUCCUUCCAGCCUCUGAUCACUGCAUUUUGUCAACCAACUGGUCAACACAAACUAUAUGUGUUUCUGUUUUAAAGACAUCUCAUUUACCAUGCAUUGUUGAUUCAUUAACAUUGAACACACAGCCAACAGCAUUGUAACUGCCCUGAAUGAAGCUUAUCAAACGUAUACUUUCUCCCUAAGACACAUCACAGCUUUCUUGUGCUUAGAGAAUACUACAAGUUCUUCAUUACUGUUUGGGGGCUAUUUUAAACAGAAAUCACCAACAAAAUAAAUACAAGAUCAAAAAAAAACUCUAGCACUAAUCAGAUCAUGAAAGGGUCUGUUUACAUUAUGAACUGAAACAAGGCCCAGAGUAUUGCUUCAGCUGAGAACCUGUGCGUCAGGCGACCCAAUCUUUAACUGCUCUGUGCAUGUCCAGGUGGCAGAAAAAGCACCAAAAGUGUUGUCGAUAGUGUUGUCGAUUUCAUUUGCAAAAAUGAAAUCUUUGGAUAAUGGGGUCUCCUCUCUCUAGAAGAAUAUGCCUCAGGCUUAGGUCUCUUAAAGAUACAUUCCUACAAAACCUUGAGCAUUGGCGCCAUUAUUAGAGUGAGAAAAAGAGUCAGCUUUGGGAGCAUGAACAAAAGUCAAGUACAUUUGUUUAAUUACAAUGUUAUUUCCUAUAUUUUUACUGGAAGUUAACUUUAGUUUUAGUAGGCUAUACUAUUAAAAGGUUACUUAGCUUAAACCCUUGUAACGGAAGGACUUUCACUUAAAUACAAAACUGAAGAAGCCUAAGCUGCCCAAAGUCCAUUGAGAAAAUACUCUAUUCUACACACUGAUGACAAUUGUGGCUUAAUUUUUAGAGAGAGAGGAAAGGAGGGAGAAAGCGUAAAAAAGACAUCGAUACGCCAGAGAAACAUGGGUUGGUUGCCUCUCACAUGCCCCCUACUGUGGACCUGGCCUAUAUAUAUCCCAGGCUUGUACCCUGACCGGGAAUUGAACCAGCACCCUUUUGGUUCACAGGCCAGCUCUCAGUCCACUGAACUACACCAGCCAGGGCAUAACUUACUCUUAACACUUAUACAUGGAUGCAUUUUACUUCUGUUGGUAAUUGUUUUAGCAGAUACAGAAAUGAAUGGAGAAAACCCCACUGCAGCCAGAGGAGGUGCUUUGCUUUUAGAGUGAUCCACGCUGAAACGCAGCAGAACAGGGAAAAUGGGGAGUGUCACCCAGAGGUGACUUUGUAUUUUUAUUUUGUCUUUGUAUCUAGUUUUUUCUUGUGAUUUUGCAUUCUGAAUUGUAACUUCUAAGUUUCAGGUUUAUCUUCUUAAUAACUAUAGAUUUAUAAUAGAAAACAAUAAAAUGUGCUUUGAGGACUUUCAUUUUGUUUUAAACCAUAUUAGAAUAUAGCCUCACGUUGUUUCCCACUUUAACUGCACGCUAAGAAUUUAAGCGGCUUAUUUUAUUUUUCUCUCCUAAGAUUCGUUUUUAUUUAAAAAGUCUGUUAGCAUUGAAAUUACCAAGCAGAUUCACAUUUGGACUCAUUUUCAAUGUACUGUAUUUUGGAAGAACUUCAGACGCUGG